GGCGAACGGGUGAGUAACACGUGGGUGAUCUGCCCUGCACUUCGGGAUAAGCCUGGGAAACUGGGUCUAAUACCGGAUAGGAGCCAUCUUUAGUGUGAUGGUUGGAAAGUUUUUCGGUGUAGGAUGAGCUCGCGGCCUAUCAGCUUGUUGGUGGGGUAAUGGCCUACCAAGGCGGCGACGGGUAGCCGGCCUGAGAGGGUGGACGGCCACAUUGGGACUGAGAUACGGCCCAG
rnacentral:rRNA from 1 species